rnacentral:snRNA from 1 species
GUUCUUUGGCCAAGGGCAUGGGAGUAGCUACGCCCCUGCUAGAAGCUCCAAACAGACUGUUGAGAUCCACCUGUAGGAGAACGUAGGCUUGUCAAGGCUCCAAGACUCCACACACAUCCAAUGAAGCGCUGCAAGGCAGUCUGCCCUUCUU